rnacentral:rRNA from 1 species
GCCAGCAGCCAUACCACCCUGCAACUCACAACUGGCAACCCACUGAAGAUAAGCAGGUGUGAGCCUGGUCAGUACCUGAAUAUGAGACCUCCUGGGAAAAACUAAGGUUGCUGCUGGAA